GACGAACGCUGGCGGCGUGGAUUAGGCAUGCAAGUCGAACGGUAUCAUCCUUUCGGGGGUGAGAGAGUGGCGAACUGGUGAGUAACACGUAGGUUAUCUACCCUCAAGACGGGGACAACCCAGGGAAACUUGGGCUAAUACCGGAUGUGAGCAACUUUUAGUUGUUUGAAAGGUGGCGUAAGCUGUCGCUUGGGGAUGAGCCUGCGUCCUAUUAGUUAGUUGGUGAGGUAACGGCUCACCUAGGCAAUGAUAGGUAGGCGGCCUUAACGGGUGGUCGCCCACACUGGGAUUGAGAUACGGCCCAGACUCCUACGGGAGGCAGCAGUCGAGAAUAGUCUACAAUGGUCGGAAGACUGAUAGUGCGACGCCGCGUGAACGAUGAAUCCCUUCGGGGUGUAAAGUUCUUUUAUAUGUGAGCAGUGCUUUCUUAUAUUAACAGUAUGGGGAAGAGAUAUUAGCAUAUGAAUAAGCAACGGCUAACUCCGUGUCAGCAGCCGCGGUAAAACG
rnacentral:rRNA from 1 species